rnacentral:tRNA from 1 species
AUUUAUAUAGUUUAAAAAAAACCUUACACUUUCAUUGUAAAAAUAAAAUAUUUUUUUUUAUAAAUU